CUUGGAUGACGUUCGGGCUCCGCGAGCUGCCAGCAUGGAGGAGGCCGCGGCGGGAAGCGGCGGUGGCAGCCCUGCCCUGGGACUGGCUCUCGGGGAGCUGCUGGGGGACGAAUGUUACGCUGAUUUUUUUAAGAGAAGACUUUGAUGUAAAGACUUAUACUUCUCAAUCUGUUCAUCAAGCUGUGAGCUGAACAGUUAGCAAAACUUGCUCAAGGAAUCAGUCAACUGGAUAAAGAGCUUCACUUACAAGUAGUUGCAACACAUGAGGACUUAUUGGCACAAACAACUGGGAUUGGAUCUCUGGAAGUAGCUGCUUUGGAUCACAUGAAGAAAGCCUAGCCUGAAAGAUACCCUGGGGAUAUCCUAAUAAGCUCUGGUAUAGGUGAAAGGCACUGCAUAGAGGCACUAUAGACUAGUGGACUAAGCAGAGGGCUAAAAGCCAGAAGCUUCUAAAUUCUGUUCUCAGCUCUUCUACCCUGUAUAGUCUUAAUAAUUAAGCCUUGUGGUUUUUGUCCACUGAUCUCGCAGAGCUGUGCAAAAAUUAGUUAUGCCUAAUGGUCUCCCUGUAAGGUAGGGAAGUAACUCAUUGUCCACAAAAGUUGAAUGAUUUGUCCAAGGCGUUACAGCAAGUCUUUAUUAGAGUAGAAUUUUGACUGUCAUUCCCUAUGCCAGGCCUGCACAACAUGCGGCCCGCGGAGGCUCACUGUGCGGCCCACGGGGGGAUUCUAAACCCCGCACACCCGGGAAAAACCACGCUCGCUCACCGUCAUCGCAAAAGUCCCAGGGCUGGCAUGCGGCGUUUCCUGGGGCAGCUCCCGGUGGUGCGCCUGCCCGCCGGCAGUGCGAGUGGCUGAGUCCUGCCCAAUCAGAGCUGCGGGGGCGGGGCUUUCAGGCACGCCGCCGGCGGCCGCCUCCCCAGUGGGACAUGGGCUUCCAGACAUGGGCUUCCCGCGGCUGCGGGCAGCCCAGAGCCCUUUGAAUCCUGGCUGUGGCUGAGAUUUAAAGGGCUCCCGGCUCCCGACCGCUGCGGGGACUCCAGAGCCCUUUGAAUCCCGGCUGCGGCUGAGAUUUAAAGGGCUCACGCCUCCCGACCGCUGCGGGGAGCCCAGAGCCCUUUGAAUUCGGGGCUGGGAUUUAAAGGGCUCAGGGCUCCCCACGGCUGCAAGGUAAUUAUGAAAAAUACAAAUGUUUUCUUUCAACGGAACAGGUUUUUUUCAUUUUUCCAUGAUUCAUAAAAAAAAUUAAAUUGUUUGAUUUAAUUGAGACAUUCUUAAUAAAGUAUCAACC